rnacentral:rRNA from 1 species
AGUGAACGCUGGCGGUAGGCCUAACACAUGCAAGUCGAACGGCAGCACAGUAAGAGCUUGCUCUUACGGGUGGCGAGUGGCGGACGGGUGAGGAAUACAUCGGAAUCUACUUUUUCGUGGGGGAUAACGUAGGGAAACUUACGCUAAUACCGCAUACGACCUACGGGUGAAAGCAGGGGAUCUUCGGACCUUGCGCGAUUGAAUGAGCCGAUGUCGGAUUAGCUAGUUGGCGGGUUAAAGGCCCACCAAGGCGACGAUCCGUAGCUGGUCUGAGAGGAUGAUCAGCCACACUGGAACUGAGACACGGUCCAGACUCCUACGGGAGGCAGCAGUGGGGAACAUUGGACAAUGGGCGAAAGCCUGAUCCAGCCAUACCGCGUGGGUGAAGAAGGCCUUCGGGUUGUAAAGCCCUUUUGUUGGGAAAGAAAAGCAGCAGGUUAAUACCCCGCUGUUCUGACGGUACCAAAAGAAUAAGCACCGGCUAACUUCGUG